AUGGUUGUACCUGUUGUAAGAGUUCAUGCUGCACAAUUGAUCGCUGAAUGCGAAAACUUUUUUCUGCGCUCGUCAAAAGCAGACGAGGAAUCUGAUUUUAAAAGUGAAGAGGAGAAAAUCACCACAAGAGAUUUGCUAGAAGACUCAAAGUGUACUCUGCAAAUUUUUUGUAUACAGAUGAGAUAUUGUGAGAAGAGUACUCUAAGGAAUGUUAUUGACUAGGGAUAGUACAAGAACCAACAGAGAAUGUGGCCGCUUCUCCAUGAGAAUGUAGAAGGAUUAGCUCACGUUCAUUCACAGGUGUUUUCUUUAAAAAGUCAAGUAAUGUCAAGGAAAAAGAGUUUGGUUUUUGGAUGAAUCAAAAAGUGUGUUUUGGACUUCUAAGUUCCUUUCAUUGAAUCUUAGUGUGAUAAAAAAGGUAACCCUUCUCAGAAUAUGUAUAUUUCUCAAUAUAAUGAUAGCCAUGAUUGAAAACUUCCACUCAAAGCUUCCACUUCAAAAAAUAAAGAUCACGAAGAAAAACAAGCUUUAAAGUGACGAAGAAUUUACAACUACAGUCUUUUAAUGUCAUACACUUAGUUUAGAUGUGUAUGUCCAUAGAUUGGUAACCAAUGCUUAGCACAGCAGCUUCUUGGACAUCCUUUUAUCCCUCCAAAUCCCAUGUCGCACGGUUUAAGCAAUGACAUCACUUCAGAUAAGCUUGACGCUGAACAAGAUCACGGUAGAAAUAAAAAUGGCUGUGAUGAUGGAGAUGAAUCUCCUGAUUUGAUGCCUAUUCCUUUUGGCUACGCUUCGAGAAACUCAAGAGUUCGGAAUGAAUUUGAGGUGUUGCAGAUGCUUGGAAAAAGGAGUGUUUGCUUCAGGUGUCAAUUAAGGUAACUUUCUAUUACAUACAUCGUUCAA